UUGGCCAUAAAUACUCAGUUUAUUGUUAAUAAUAUGUAAUUUGUAUUCAUUUAAUUUUUAUUGUUUUUGUUUUUUUCUAUCUGUCUGUUUCCAGGUUACCACAGUUUACACUCUAUGCCAGGAUUAUUUUUUUUAUGAUGGUAAUGUUUGCCUUUGCAACAACAGCAUGUUCAAAGAAAACAAACGAU